rnacentral:rRNA from 1 species
GACAGAGGGUGCAAACGUUGCUCGGAAUCACUGGGCGUAAAGGGUGCGUAGGCGGGUCUUUAAGUCAGGGGUGAAAUCCUGGAGCUCAACUCCAGAACUGCCUUUGAUACUGAGGAUCUUGAGUUCGGGAGAGGUGAGUGGAACUGCGAGUGUAGAGGUGAAAUUCGUAGAUAUUCGCAAGAACACCAGUGGCGAAGGCGGCUCACUGGUCCGGUACUGACGCUGAGGUGCGAAAGCGUGGGGAGCAAACAGG